AUGUAAUGUCAUCUUCAUUUGUUAAUUACAGACAUUAGAACUCCAUAGUUAAGCAUGCUCAGGAUAGAGUAGUACUGGGAUGGGUGACUGCCCAUGAUGUCCUAGUGUAUUACAUG
rnacentral:rRNA from 1 species